AAGAGGAUUCCGGCGGGAACUCGACUCUUGGCGCCACCGCCUCAUGCACUGUGUAGACUGUGAACCAGAAGAGCUGACUGACUGGUCUAUGGAUGAAAAAUGUUCAUUUUGUAACCUACAGAGAGAAGCAGUCAGUGAUUGUAUACCAUCUCUUGAUUCUUCACAGUCAACACCAACAGAGGAGCUAUCAUCUCAGGGCCAGUCCAACACUGAUAAGAUUGAAUGCCAAGCAGAAAAUUACCUAAAUGCACUCUUUCGAAAGAAAGCACUGCUAUCAUUGAUAGUUUUCUGAAAAUUGGAUUCUAAAUCUGGAAGAACAAGAACACAUUUUAGUCUUCUCUCCAGAUGUUACUUUGAUUCCUUCUUUCUUCUUCUGUACCUACCAAAGCGGCCCUAUAUAAUACUGAGACUUCAUUAAUGGGCAAAGUAUGUAAUAACCAGGCAUCUGUAUAAUAUCACUUUUUUUUAGUCAGAACUGUUUCAUUUGUUCUCUAUGAAACUACAUAUUGAGUAUGUCAGUUUGAAUGCCAGUGAGUGGGCAGUUAGUUACAUAGUGGGUAACUGAUUGGUUUUCACCCUCCGUUUUUUAGAAAGACUUAAUACUUUAUUCUGUUCUAGCCUGAGGAUAAAAUAUAUUUUAAAAUACCUUGAUACCAUGUUUCGUGAAUGCUUUUAGUCUAUGAAGAAAAACAGUUUUACUAAUGAGAUACUUGCUCACUAGUAGUAAAGAAGUGCCAGAUGAAGGUGCUCUGUAGUUGUCAAAAUGUGAAUUGGAAUUUAAAAAUUUACCCAUAAUGUAGAAUUACUGUUGCUCCAUAAUUCUGCAGAUCUGCAUUCCUGCAUUUCCAUGAUUAUUUACUUACUGAAUGAUAAAACUUGCAGCUAAAUUUGUCUUCAACACACCUUUCUCAGAGCAUCAAUUACAUUAUUCAUUAAGGAAUAAAUAGCAUCUCUAAAGCAUGUAUCAACAUCAGAACUAAGCUUUAUGAAUUAUACAGUGCAUCUAGUGAUUCCUUAUUCUAAAAGAUCUCUGGUGCCAUCUACUGAAUGCUUUUUAAAGGAAAAAACAUGAAAUCAAAUAAUAGAUUUUCACUUAAUUCAAUUUUUUGUUUUGUUUUAAUUUUCAAUUACUAGAACAGAUCUAGGUUUAUAAAAGAACUAAACAGGAAGUACAGAAUUCCCAUAUAAUCACUUUUCCCCCAUACCCUCAGUUUCACCAAGAACACCUUUCAUUGGUGUAUUUCAUUUGUUACAUUUGAUGAACAAAUGCUGAUACAUUAUUAUUAACUGAAGUUCAUAGUUUACAUCAGAAUCAGUUUGUGUAUGUUGUACAGUUUUGUGGAUUUGCCAAAUACACAGUCAUGUAUCCUUCAUUACAGUAUCAUGCAUAAUAUAUCACUUCCCUAAAAAUCCCUGUAAUCUGUGAAAAAUCCCUGAAGUCUGAGUACUUGAUACUAGGAAAUAAAAAGGAAGAGUCUUAAAAUCAUAGGACCAGAGGUAGCAGUCUUGGCAAGGUACCAUUUCUAAUGAAGAGAAGGGUGAGCUAAAAGGACUGUUACUUAGAAUCUUGUUAAUAAGUAGAAGGAAGAAAUUAAGGGUCCUGUAGAAACAAAAGAGAAUCACAAAACUGAAAACAUAUCAACUCUUCAUUCCAUUCUACCAUUCAAAUGCACCACUAAUUAAAUAAACUAUACCAUACCAGCAUAAGGGUUCUUUUCAUCCAGAUUAUCUCUGUAUACAACAGUUUUUACAUAUGACAGUAAUUGCUGGUUUGGGAAUAUAAAGUAAUUCAAAAUGAAUAGAGUAUAGGACAUAUGAAAUUCUCUCUAAAAACAAAACAAGCAGAAAAACAGAAGAAUAGUACAUCAUAACACCUCAAAGUGAAUUAUAUAUUGUUAAAAGAAGCAUUGGCAGAUAUGAUAAAACACCUUACACAAAAUCCAGGCAUUCAAAAAGAAAUAGAUAAAAAGGAAAAUGGGAAUGGAGAAUUGACUAAACUUAGGAAUACAAUUUUAGAAAAAAAUCUGCUUAGAAAUAAAGACUUAAUUUCAAAGGAGAAUAGAUUUGACUGAAAAUAUAGAGUCUUUGGAGAAAGCUAUGAAAAUGGCUAAGAGAAUGAAAAUGAAAUAAAAUGGUAAAAAGGUAGAGAAAAAAGUUGUUGCUAGAACAGUGCUUGAACAACAACAAAAAGUCCAACACAGGUGUAAUUGGAGACCCAAAGAAGAAAACAAAAUAGUGGAACAUGUUGAAACUAUAAUUUGAGAAAACUUUCCAGAAAUAUAUUUGAAACUACAUAGCUUUCCAGAAAUAUAUUUGAAACUACAUAGCUCACUACAUACCUGGGAUUAUUGACACAGAAUAACAAAUUUUGAGACAUCCUGGUAAAAGUAUGAUAAUUUUAAAAAAGGAAAAACCCAAUGGACCUCAAGACAAAAAUACUAAGUCACAAAGAUAAAAAUCAGGUAAAUCAAAAUUCUCAACAAGAACAUUUAAAGAAAGACAGCCCCAGAGCAACAUUUUCAAAGAAGUUAAAGAAUAAGUGAAACUUUUGUGUUCAGUCAAGUUCUAUUUCAUGUAUGAAGAUGGUCAAAACAUAAUUAAAUGUGUAAGAACUCAAGAAAUACUGUAUUUAAAGCACUGCUAGAAUAAUCUACUGGAGCUGUAGUCAGCAAACAUUUUCUGUGAAGGACCCAGAGAAUAAAUAUUGGAGAUUUUGCAGGCAAUAUGGUCUCUGUUGCAAUUCACCAUAUUUGCCAUUAUAACAAAAAUAUCCAUAGACAGUACAUUAAUGAAUUAGUAUGGGUGUGUUUCAAUAAAACUUUAUCUACAAAAAGUGAUGAUGGGCCACGUAUGUCCCCCUGCUUGCUCAGCCUCGUACUCUAUGGCACAUUUCUUGCAAUGAAUAAAUGGCAAAAGGAGUGAUUGUGAGCAUUGGCCAUAUUUUAUUUAAGGCUAAAGCAGAGUGAAGGUUGGGAAGAGUGGGAAAUGAAGUAGGAAAAAUUCACUGAGUGUCACUUAUGUAUUAUUUAGGAAUCAAAGAUAUCAUUUGAAGCCUGAAUACCAAACAGCCUAACUAAGGGAAAGGGGGACUAAUGGCAUCAUAAGAAGUAGUAGGUAAAACUGGUAAUUAACAAACAGACAAACUCUCUUAAAUACUGAAAAAUUUUACAAAGCAAAGAAAAUGGACCACAGGAAGAGAGAAAAAUAAAACUUAAAUCUGUAAGCUGACACUAAUAUAUGAGUCAUUGUAGGACAUGUGAAAACAUUGAACUCCCCUGUUAAACAGAUGUCCAGAAUGGUUCAUGAAGCAAGACUCAGGUUUGAGGUGUAUAUAUUGACAAGACAUGCCUAAAAUAAAAUGAUUUUAAAAGACUAAAAGGAGUGAGAAAAAGUAUGGACGGCAAAUUGAAAACAAUAAAGAAAGCCAAGAUUAAUUCUAAUGUUACCCAGGGUAGAAAUUAGCGGCGGAAAGGGCUACUUCAUAGUGUUAAAGACCGUAAUUCAUAAUGUGUGUGGAUGUAACAUUUACUAGUAUCUGUGUACCAGAUAACAUUAGCAACCAUCCUCCUAAACAGAAACUACAGAGAAUUCAGAAGGACAAAUACACAGAAUUAACCCAUCACUUUUAGUCCAAGAUAUGUGAAGUGAAUCUAAAGUAAGUAAGGAUAUAAAAGACCUAAAAGCACAGCAAGGGAUAUUUUAUGAAUAUAUAUUGAACUCAAUUCUCAAAUAACAUAAAAUAUAUUUUCUUCCCAAGUAUACAUGGAACAUUCACAAAAAAUUUUUAUAUAUUAAGUCAAAAAGAAAUCCUAAGUUCCAUAAAGUAGAAACAAUACAAAAAGCAUUUUUUCAUUAUAAUGCAAUAAAGAUGGACAUCAAUAACAAAACAUUUUAAAAGUCUUAUUUACCUGCAGUAUUAAUACUAUUUUAAACAACUUUAGGUGUAUAGUGAAGAAAGCAAAGUUGCAGAAUUUCUUCAAAAUAUUGAUAAUGACAAAAAAACUACAUAUAAGAAUCUAGGGGAUAUAAUUAAAACAGAUUAGAAAAAGAUUCAACAGCCUUAUGUAUUUACAGCCAUAAAUUAAAGAAAAAUAAAUUACAUUUUCAUCAAAAAAAGCUAAGAAAAAUCGCAAAGUAAAUCCGAAUAAAGAACAAGGAAGGAAAUAAUAAAGAUUAAAGCAAAAAAUUAAUGAGGUUGAAGACAAAAACAAUAGGACUAAAAAGUAAAUAGAAAAAAAUACUGAUUCUUUGAAAAAGUCAACAAAAUAGACCACUAGUUAACCUAAUUGGUGGUGGUAGAGGUGGGAGGAGGAGAGGGGGUAAUAGAGAGAAAGUAUUAAAAUGCAAGACAUGACAAGGGGAGAAUAACAACUAUUGAAACAGAGAAUUUUAAAAAUGAUAAGAUUUUAUUUUGCACAACUUAAGUGAAAUGGAUUAUUUCUUUGGAAAAUCCAGUUUGUUAAAAUUGUCCCAGAAGAAAUAGAAAAGUUAAACAGAUGAAAUUUUUCAGAAGAAAUAGCAAAAGGUAUCAAGAAAGCUCAGUAAAAGCACCAAGCUCAGAAGGUUUCAAAGGAAUGUUUUACCAAAACUUCUAAGAUCAGAUCAUCUCAAUGCUCUAUACAUUUUUCCAGAACAUAGAAAAAGACAGUUUUCAAAUUACUUUUGAGUAUGGUAUUAAUCUAGAUAAAAAUCAUGUGACAGUCACACACUGUGUGUGUAUCCGUGAAAUAGUAUCUCAUUGUUUUGAUUUUCAUUUUCCUAAGGACUAAUCAUACAUACCACUACAGAACAAUCUCACGUAUGUCAAUACAAAAGCGUCAAACGUAAUCCUAUGCUACAUUAAGAAAAUGAUACAUGACAGUCAUGACAUUUAUUCCAUUAAUGCAAAAGUGGUUCAAUUUUAGGAAAUCCUUUGAUAUUAUUCACUUGUUAAUCUAAAGAGGAACAAAAAAUGAAUACUCAGUAGAACAGGAAUUGAUGUAUUUUUUAAAUGUAGAACACAUAUAUCCUAGGUUUAAAUCCAGCAUAAUACUUAAUGUGGAAACACUGGCAGCAUUCCAACUAAAAUUGGAACAAGACAUUAUUCUCCUGUGUCUCUUCUACUAUUUAACACUGUAUUGAAGUUUUGGGCUUGUGCAAUUAAACAGUAGAAAACUCUACUUCGUGUUUGUGUGUGGAAACGGAGUCUCACUAUGUUGCCCAGGCUGGACUCAAACAUCUGGGCUCAAGCAGUCUUCGGUUCUCAGCCUCCUGAGUAGCUGGGGCUACAGGCAUUCUACCACUUCCUCUGGCUUAUAUUUACAUUUUUGAGGAAAAGCUAAUCUGUUUUCCAAAGUGGCUAUAGCAUUUUGCAUUGCCACCAACAUUGUAUGAGGGUUCCAGUUUUUCCACAUCCUCCACAAUACUUGUUAUUAUCUGUAUUUUUUUUAUUACAACAGUCUUACUGGGUAUGAAAUAGUAUCUCAUUGUUUUGAUUUUCAUUUUCCUAAGGACUAAUCAUGCUAAGCAUCUUGUCAUGUACUUAUAAGCCAUCAGUAACAUCUUCUUUGUAGAAAUGUCUGUUCAGAUCAUUUGCCCAUUUUUCAAAUUUGGCAUGUCUUUAUUAUUGAAUUGUAGGAGUUCUUCAUGUAUGGUGGAUAUUGGACCCUUAUAAGACAUGGUUUAGAAAUAUUUUUUUCCCAUUGUGUGGACUGUCUUUGUUUCUUGGUAGUGUCCUUUGAAGCUUAAAAUUUUUAAUUUUCAUGAAGUUCAGUUUAUCCAUUCUGUUCUUGUUGUUUGUGCUUUUAGUGUCAGAUCUAAGAAAUCAUAGCCUAAUCCAAGGUCAUGAAAAUUUACACAUAUGUCUUCUAAGAGUUUUAUAAUUUGGUCUCCUAUAUUUGGAUCUUUGAUCCAUUUUGGGUUAAUGUUUGUAUAUAGUGUGGGGUAGAGGCCCAGCUUCAUAUUUUGCAUUGAAAUAUCCAGUCAUCCCAGCAUAAUUUGUUGAAAAGAUUAUUCUUUCACCCAUUGAAUUGUUUUAGUACUCAUCAAAAAUAAAUUAACUGUAUAUGAGUGCGUUUAUGUUUGGACUCGAUUCUUUUCCAUUGUUCUACAUGUCUAUCUAGUAACACCUAGUCUUGACUAUUGUAUUUAUAGUAAGCUUUGAAAUUAGGAAAUGCUAAUCCUCCGAUUUUGUUCUCUUUCGAGAUUAUUUUGGCUAUUCGGGGUCCCUUGCAUUUUCAUGUGAAUUUUAGGAUCAGCUUGCCAGUUUCUAUAAAACUACCAACUGGGAUUUAGAUAGGGAUUCUGUUGAACCUGUUGAUAAAAAUUGGGGAGUAUUACCAUCUUAAGAAUAUUAAGUUCUUCAAUCUGUGAACAGAGGACAUGUUCCUAUUAUUUUAAGUCUUUAUUAUGUUUCCAGUUUUCGGUGUACAACUCUUCUGCCUUUUAAAGUUUAUUUUUUGUAAGUAUUUUAUUUGUGAUGCUGUAGUAAAUGUGAUUUUUUAAAAAUUACAUUUUGGAAUUGUUUUGUGCUAUUGGUUAGAAAUAAAAUUCAUUUUUGUAUAUUGAUUUGGUAUCCUG
rnacentral:lncRNA from 1 species